rnacentral:rRNA from 1 species
CCUACGGGAGGCAGCAGUGGGGAAUAUUGGACAAUGGGCGAAAGCCUGAUCCAGCAAUGCCGCGUGAGUGAUGAAGGCCUUCGGGUCGUAAAGCUCUUUUACCAGGGAUGAUAAUGACAGUACCUGGAGAAUAAGCUCCGGCUAACUCCGUGCCAGCAGCCGCGGUAUACGGAGGGAGCUAGCGUUGUUCGGAAUUACUGGGCGUAAAGAGUACGUAGGCGGUUAUUCAAGUCAGAGGUGAAAGCCCGGGGCUCAACCCCGGAACUGCCUUUGAAACUAGAUAACUAGAGUCUUGGAGAGGUUAGUGGAAUUCCGAGUGUAGAGGUGAAAUUCGUAGAUAUUCGGAAGAACACCAGUGGCGAAGGCGACUAACUGGACAAGUACUGACGCUGAGGUACGAAAGCGUGGGGAGCAAACAGGAUUAGAUACCCUGGUAGUCCACGCCGUAAACGAUGAUAACUAGUUGUUCGGUCACUUGGUGACUGAGUGACGCAGCUAACGCAUUAAGUUAUCCGCCUGGGGAGUACGGUCGCAAGNUUAAAACUCAAAGGAAUUGACGGCUGAGCGNGCGAGACGACGACGAGGAGAG